rnacentral:rRNA from 1 species
CCUACGGGAGGCAGCAGUGGGGAAUUUUGGACAAUGGGCGCAAGCCUGAUCCAGCCAUGCCGCGUGCAGGAUGAAGGCCUUCGGGUUGUAAACUGCUUUUGUACGGAACGAAAAGACUCUGGUUAAUACCUGGGGUCCAUGACGGUACCGUAAGAAUAAGCACCGGCUAACUACGUGCCAGCAGCCGCGGUAAUACGUAGGGUGCGAGCGUUAAUCGGAAUUACUGGGCGUAAAGCGUGCGCAGGCGGUUAUAUAAGACAGAUGUGAAAUCCCCGGGCUCAACCUGGGAACUGCAUUUGUGACUGUAUAGCUAGAGUACGGCAGAGGGGGAUGGAAUUCCGCGUGUAGCAGUGAAAUGCGUAGAUAUGCGGAGGAACACCGAUGGCGAAGGCAAUCCCCUGGGCCUGUACUGACGCUCAUGCACGAAAGCGUGGGGAGCAAACAGGAUUAGAUACCCUGGUAGUCCACGCCCUAAACGAUGUCAACUGGUUGUUGGGUCUUCACUGACUCAGUAACGAAGCUAACGCGUGAAGUUGACCGCCUGGGGNGGUACGGCGCGAGUAGAACGACGAAGAGUAGUGCGNGAGAGAGCGACGACGACGACGAGGGAGGGAGGAG